UGGGGAAUAUUGGACAAUGGGCGAAAGCCUGAUCCAGCCAUGCCGAGUGUGUGAAGAAGGUCUUCGGAUUGUAAAGCACUUUAAGUUGGGAGGAAGGGCAUUAACCUAAUACGUUAGUGUUUUGACGUUACCGACAGAAUAAGCACCGGCUAACUCUGUGCCAGCAGCCGCGGAAAUACAGAGGGUGCAAGCGUUAAUCGGAAUUACUGGGCGUAAAGCGCGCGUAGGUGGUUUGUUAAGUUGGAUGUGAAAUCCCCGGGCUCAACCUGGGAACUGCAUUCAAAACUGACUGACUAGAGUAUGGUAGAGGGUGGUGGAAUUUCCUGUGUAGCGGUGAAAUGCGUAGAUAUAGGAAGGAACACCAGUGGCGAAGGCGACCACCUGGACUAAUACUGACACUGAGGUGCGAAAGCGUGGGGAGCAAACA
rnacentral:rRNA from 1 species